CGCGUAGGCGGUUUAUCAAGUGAGAUGUGAAAUCCCCGGGCUUAACCUGGGAACUGCAUCUUAAACUGAUGAGCUGGAGUACUGUAGAGGAUAGUGGAAUUUCCGGUGUAGCGGUGAAAUGCGUAGAGAUCGGAAGGAACAUCAGUGGCGAAGGCGACUGUCUGGACAGAUACUGACGCUGAGGCGCGAAAGCGUGGGGAGCAAACAGGAUUAGAUACCCUGGUAGUCCACGCUGUAAACGAUGAGAACUAGAUGUUGGUGGGCCUAGCCCAUUAGUAUCGAAGCUAACGCGAUAAGUUCUCCGCCUGGGGAGUACGGCCGCAAGGUUAAA
rnacentral:rRNA from 1 species